rnacentral:rRNA from 1 species
UACGGGGGGAGCAAGCGUUGUUCGGAUUUACUGGGCGUAAAGGGCGCGUAGGCGGUCAGCACAAGUCAGUUGUGAAAUCUCCGGGCUUAACCCGAAGGUACGAACUGAUACUGUGCGACUAGAGUGCAGAAGGGGCAACUGGAAUUCUCGGUGUAGCGGUGAAAUGCGCAGAUAUCAGGAGGAACACCGGUGGCGAAGGCGGCAUCCUGGACCACGACUGACACUGAAAAGCGAAAGCCAGGGGAGCAAACGGGG